rnacentral:rRNA from 1 species
GUCGAGGGGCAUCAGUUUGGUUUGCUUGCAAACCAAAGCUGGCGACCGGCGCACGGGUGAGUAACACGUAUCCAACCUGCCUCAUACUCGGGGAUAGCCUUUCGAAAGAAAGAUUAAUAUCCGAUAGCAUAUAUUUCCCGCAUGGGUUUUAUAUUAAAGAAAUUCGGUAUGAGAUGGGGAUGCGUUCCAUUAGUUUGUUGGGGGGGUAACGGCCCACCAAGACUACGAUGGAUGGGGGUUCUGAGAGGAAGGUCCCCCACAUUGGAACUGAGACACGGUCCAAACUCCUACGGGAGGCAGCAGUGAGGAAUAUUGGUCAAUGGACGCGAGUCUGAACCAGCCAAGUAGCGUGAAGGAUGACUGCCCUAUGGGUUGUAAACUUCUUUUAUAUGGGAAUAAAGUUGUCCACGUGUGGAUUUUUGUAUGUACCAUAUGAAUAAGGAUCGGCUAACUCCGUGCCAGCAGCCGCGGUAAUACGGAGGAUCCGAGCGUUAUCCGGAUUUAUUGGGUUUAAAGGGAGCGUAGGCGGAUUGUUAAGUCAGUUGUGAAAGUUUGCGGCUCAACCGUAAAAUUGCAGUUGAUACUGGCAGUCUUGAGUGCAGUAGAGGUGGGCGGAAUUCGUGGUGUAGCGGUGAAAUGCUUAGAUAUCACGAAGAACUCCGAUUGCGAAGGCAGCUCACUGG